rnacentral:rRNA from 1 species
GACGAACGCUGGCGGCGUGCUUAACACAUGCAAGUCGAACGGAGUGGCGAACGGGUGAGUAACACGCGGGUUAUCUGCCCCGCACUUCGGGAUAAGCUUGGGAAACUGGGUUUAAUACCCGACAGCGCAGGAUGAGCUCGGGGCCUAUCAGCUUGUUGGUGGGGUAAUGGCCUACCAUGGCGUCGACGGGUGGCCGGCCUGGGAGGGUGUACGGCCACAUUGGGACUGGGGUACGGCCCAGACGCAUACGGGAGGCAGCAGUGGGGAAUAUUGCUCGAUGAGCGGAAGCAUGAUGGAGCGACGCCGCGUGGGGAAGAAAGGCCAUCGGGUUGUAAACUCCUUUCGACGGGGACGCGGUACCUGAAUAAAAAGCACCGGCUAACUACGUGCCAGCAGCCGCGGUAAUUC